UGCAGCUGAAGAAGAGUGGAAAGGAGCCCAAAGCUGCUGCAGAGCUGGUGUUAGGUGACAUUUCCCAUAAAACCAAGGUGUGUGAGCGCUCCACGUCUCCUGAGUGGAGAGAAGCGUUUCACUUCCUGCUUCAUAAGCCUACAGAGGAGAUUCUUAUUAUAAAGCUUUCAAGUGCCUUUGAGCAGCCCUUAGGCUCAGUGGUUCUACCAAUCAGAGAGCUGCUUUCAAAACCAGAUCUAC